rnacentral:rRNA from 1 species
CAGCAGCCGCGGUAAUACGAAGGGUGCAAGCGUUAAUCGGAAUUACUGGGCGUAAAGCGUGCGUAGGCGGUUUGUUAAGUCUGCUGUGAAAUCCCCGGGCUCAACCUGGGAAUGGCAGUGGAUACUGGCAAGCUAGAGUGUGUCAGAGGAUGGUGGAAUUCCCGGUGUAGCGGUGAAAUGCGUAGAGAUCGGGAGGAACAUCAGUGGCGAAGGCGGCCCUCUGGACUGUAACUGACGCUGAGGCGCGAAAGCGUGGGGAGCAAACAGGAUUAGAUACCCCGGUAGUCCCUGUCUCUUAUAA